CCUACGGGUGGCUGCAGUGGGGGAUAUUGCACAAUGGGGGAAACCCUGAUGCAGCAACGCCGCGUGCGUGAAGAAGUCUUUCGGUAUGUACAACUCUUUCAGCAGGGAAGAGAAUGCCGGUACCUGACUCUGAAGCCCCGGCUAACUACGUGCCAGCAGCCGCGGUAAUACGUCGGGGGCGAGCGUUAUCCGGAUUUACUGGGUGUAAAGGGAGCGUAGACGGCUGGUCAAGUCUGAAGUGAAAGCCCGGGGCUUAACCCCGGAACGGCUUUUGAUACUGAGCAGCUAGAGUGCUGGAGAGGUAAGCGGAAUUCCUAGUGUAGCGGUGAAAUGCGUAGAGAUUAGGAGGAACACCGGUGGCGAAGGCGGCUUACUGGACAGUAACUGACGUUGAGGCUCGAAAGCGUGGGGAGCAAACAGGAUUAGAUACCCCGGUAGUC
rnacentral:rRNA from 1 species